CCUACGGGUGGCAGCAGUGGGGAAUAUUGCACAAUGGGGGAAACCCUGAUGCAGCAACGCCGCGUGAGUGAUGACGGCCUUCGGGUUGUAAAGCUCUGUCUUUAGGGACGAUAAUGACGGUACCUGAGGAGGAAGCCAUUGCCAACUACGUGCCAGAAGCCGCGGUAAUACGUAGGUGGCGAGCGUGGUCCGGAUUUACUGGGGGUAAAGGGAGCGUAGGCGGAUUUGUAUGUGUGAUGUGAAAUACUCGGGCUCAACUUGAGUGCUGCAUUUGAAACUGGAAGUCUGGAGGGCAGGAGAGGAGAAUGGAAUUCCUAGUGUAGCGGUGAAAUGCGUAGAGAUUAGGAAGAACACCAGUGGCGAAGGCGAUUCUCUGGACUGUAACUGACGCUGAGGCUCGAAAGCGUGGGGAGCGAACAGGAUUAGAUACCCCGGUAGUC
rnacentral:rRNA from 1 species